rnacentral:rRNA from 1 species
GUUAUAGGGUCAAGCGAACAAGUGCAUGUGGUGGAUGCCUUGGCGAUCACAGGCGAUGAAGGACGCGGUAGCCUGCGAAAAGCUACGGGGAGCUGGCAAACAAGCUUUGAUCCGUAGAUGUCCGAAUGGGGAAACCCACUCCUUUUGGAGUAUCCAUGGCUGAAUACAUAGGCCAUGUGAAGCGAACGCGGUGAACUGA